CCUACGGGAGGCAGCAGUGGGGAAUAUUGGACAAUGGGCGCAAGCCUGAUCCAGCCAUGCCGCGUGUGUGAAGAAGGCCUUCGGGUUGUAAAGCACUUUUGUACGGGAAGAAACACGGCCGGCGAAUACCCGGCUGGACUGACGGUACCGUAAGAAUAAGCACCGGCUAACUUCGUGCCAGCAGCCGCGGUAAUACGAAGGGUGCAAGCGUUACUCGGAAUUACUGGGCGUAAAGCGUGCGCAGGUGGUGCGUUAAGUCCGAUGUGAAAGCCCUGGGCUCAACCUGGGAAUGGCAUUGGAUACUGGCGUGCUCGAGUACGGUAGAGGGUGGCGGAAUUCCCGGUGUAGCAGUGAAAUGCGUAGAGAUCGGGAGGAACAUCCGUGGCGAAGGCGGCCACCUGGACCAGUACUGACACUGAGGCACGAAAGCGUGGGGAGCAAACAG
rnacentral:rRNA from 1 species